rnacentral:rRNA from 1 species
AUUGGAAGUAAAAGUCGUAACAAGGUUUCCGUAGGUGAACCUGCGGAAGGAUCAUUAUCGAAUAAACUUGAGCAGGCUGUUGCUGGCCCCAGGGUAUGUGCACGCUUGUCAUCUUUAUAAUUUCUCCAACUGUGCACAUAUUGUAGACCUUUGAAUCCUUUUCUCUUUUGGAUUCGAGUUGGGGACUGCUGCGCUUCCAAAAAGAAGUCGGCUUUCCCUUGUAUUUUCCAGGUCUAUGUCAAUUUUCACAACCUCUAGAAUGUGUUUAGAAUGUUGAAUCAGGUCCUUUUGUACCUAUAAAAAGUUAAUACAACUUUCAGCAACGGAUCUCUUGGCUCUCGCAUCGAUGAAGAACGCAGCGAAAUGCGAUAAGUAGUGUGAAUUGCAGAAUUCAGUGAAUCAUCGAAUCUUUGAACGCAUCUUGCGCUCCUUGGUAUUCCGAGGAGCAUGCCUGUUUGAGUGUCAUUUUACUUCUCUCAACCACAUCAUUGUGAUGUGGCUUGGAUGUGGGGGAUUUUGCGGGCUUCUGAAGUGAAGUUGGCUCUCCUGAAAUGCAUUAGUGGUAUCUGAGCUGCCAUUUGGCGUGAUAAGUUUAUCUAUGCCUUUGGUGAUGCUGGGUAGCAUCGCUUCUACCGAG